AUUGAACGCUGGCGGCAGGCCUAACACAUGCAAGUCGAGCGGAUGAAGGGUGCUUGCUCCUGGAUUCAGCGGCGGACGGGUGAGUAAUGCCUAGGAAUCUGCCUGGUAGUGGGGGAUAACGUCCGGAAACGGGCGCUAAUACCGCAUCCGUCCUGUGGUUGAAAUUUGGGGUUCUUCGGACCUCUCGCUCUCAGAUGAGCCUAGGUCGGAUUAGCUAGUUGGUGGGGUAAAGGCCUACCAAGGCGACGAUCCGUAACUGGUCUGAGAGGAUGAUCAGUCACACUGGAACUGAGAAACGGACCAGACUCCUACGGGAGGCAGCAGAGGGGAAUAUUGGACAAAGGAGGAAAGGCUAAUACAGCAAAGCCGCGUGUGGGAAGAAGGACUUCGGAUUGUAAAGCAAUUUAAGUGGGGAGGAAGGGCAGUAAGUUAAUACCUUGCUGUAAUGACGUUAACAACAGAAUAAGCACCGGCUAACUUCGUG
rnacentral:rRNA from 1 species